UGAGUAACCUGCCCUUGACUCUGGGAUAAGCCUGGGAAACUGGGUCUAAUACCGGAUAUGACUCCUCAUCGCAUGGUGGGGGGUGGAAAGCUUUAUUGUGGUUCUGGAUGGACUCGCGGCCUAUCAGCUUGUUGGUGAGGUAAUGGCUCACCAAGGCUUCGACGGGUAGCCGGCCUGAGAGGGCGACCGGCCACACUGGGACUGAGACACGGCCCAGACUCCGUACGGGAGGNAG
rnacentral:rRNA from 1 species